AUAAAAGGAUACCUCCGGGUAUACCCCAUCCGUGUCUACAUACUCUUGUUGCUUUGGCAGGCCGUGGUUUCCCACUGUGGGCUCUGCCUGCAUGUGCCUGCCAGAGGACCAAACUCUGAAUGUUAGUGAUGUCCGAGUACUAUAUAUAAUAGUUA
rnacentral:misc_RNA from 1 species